GACGAACGCUGGCGGCGUGCUUAACACAUGCAAGUCGAACGGAAAGGCCCUGCUUUUGUGGGGUGCUCGAGUGGCGAACGGGUGAGUAACACGUGAGUAACCUGCCCUUGACUUUGGGAUAACUUCAGGAAACUGGGGCUAAUACCGGAUAGGAGCUCCUGCUGCAUGGUGGGGGUUGGAAAGUUUCGGCGGUUGGGGAUGGACUCGCGGCUUAUCAGCUUGUUUGUGGGGUAGUGGCUUACCAAGGCUUUGACGGGUAGCCGGCCUGAGAGGGUGACCGGCGACAUUGGGACUGAGAUACGGCCCAGAAUACUACGGGAGGCAGCAGUGGGGAAUAUUGCACAAUGGGCGGAAGCCUGAUGCAGAAACGCAGCGUGCGGGAUGACGGCCUUCGGGUUGUAAACCGCUUUCGCCUGUGACGAAGCGUGAGUGACGGUAAUGGGUAAAGAAGCACCGGCUAACUACGUG
rnacentral:rRNA from 1 species